UUAAAGGAAUUGACGGAAGGGCACCACAAGCAGUGGGGCUUGCGGCUUAAUUUGACUCAACGCGGGGAAACUCAUCAGGCCAGGACACUGGAAGGAUUGACAGAUUGAGAGCUCUUUCUUGAUUCGGUGGGCGGUGGUGCAUGGCCGUUUUUGGUUGGUGGAGCGAUUUGUCUGGUUAAUUCCGUUAACGAACGAGACCCUGGCCUGCUAACUAGUCGAUACCGGCAUCCUUGGUGCAGCCGGCGACGUCAAAUCUUCUUAGAGGGACAGGCGGCUCCUAGCCGCACGAAAUUGGGCAAAAACAGGUCUGUGAUGCCCUUAGAUGUUCUGAGCAGCACGCGUGCCACACUGAAGGAAUCAACGUGUGUUCUCCUUGGCCGAGAGGCCCGGGUAACCCGCUGAAUGUCCUUCGUGCUAGGGAUUGGGGCUUGUAAUUAUUCCCCACGAACGAGGAAUUCCUAGUAAGCGGAAAUCAUUACUUUCCGUUGAUUAUGUCCCUGCCCUUUGUCCACACCGCCCGUCGCUACUACCGAUUGAAUGAUUUAGUGAGGUCUUCGGACCGGUGCGCGGGGUCCGCGAGGACGCCGCUGCGACUGGGAAGAUGACCAAACUUGAUUAUUUAGAGGAAGUAAAAGUCGUAACAAGGUUUUC
rnacentral:rRNA from 1 species